rnacentral:rRNA from 1 species
GGACGUCCACUUACUUGGAGUCCGAACUCUCACUUUCUAACCCUGUGCACUUGUUUGGGAUAGUAACUCUCGCAAGAGAGCGAACUCCUAUUCACUUAUAAACACAAAGUCUAUGAAUGUAUUAAAUUUUAUAACAAAAUAAAACUUUCAACAACGGAUCUCUUGGCUCUCGCAUCGAUGAAGAACGCAGCGAAAUGCGAUAAGUAAUGUGAAUUGCAGAAUUCAGUGAAUCAUCGAAUCUUUGAACGCACCUUGCGCUCCAUGGUAUUCCGUGGAGCAUGCCUGUUUGAGUGUCAUGAAUACUUCAACCCUCCUCUUUCUUAAUGAUUGAAGAGGUGUUUGGUUUCUGAGCGCUGCUGGCCUUUACGGUCUAGCUCGUUCGUAAUGCAUUAGCAUCCGCAAUCGAACUUCGGAUUGACUUGGCGUAAUAGACUAUUCGCUGAGGAAUUCUAGUCUUCGGACUAGAGCCGGGUUGGGUUAAAGGAAGCUUCUAAUCAGAAUGUCUACAUUUUAAGAUUAGAUCUCAAAUCAGGUAGGACUACCCGCUGAACUUAAGCAUAUCAAUAAGCGAGGGAAAAAGAAAAGGGG